CAAUUUUGGUACAUCGGGUCGCCCCCCGGGGCGGCUCCGGUGUCACCAAUCGAGAUACCAACCCAUGUCUUUUGAGCACCUCACGUUUCCUCGGCGGGCUCGCCUGCCAAUGGGGACCCCUUUAAACCUUUUGUGUAUGCAGUAAACGUCUACAAAACAAUUAAAUCA
rnacentral:misc_RNA from 1 species